GAUGAAGAACGUAGCAAAAUGCGAUAAGUAAUGUGAAUUCCAGAAUUCAGUGAAUCAUCGAAUCUUUGAACGCACAUUGCGCCCGCCAGUAUUCUGGCGGGCAUGCCUGUUCGAGCGUCAUUUCAACCCUCAAGCACAGCUUGGUGUUGGGACUCGCGUUAAUUCGCGUUCCCCAAAUUGAUUGGCGGUCACGUCGAGCUUCCAUAGCGUAGUAGUAAAACCCUCGUUACUGGUAAUCGUCGCGGCCACGCCGUUAAACCCCAACUUCUGAAUGUUGACCUCGGAUCAGGUAGGAAUACCCGCUGAACUUAAGCAUAUCAAUAAGCGGAGGA
rnacentral:misc_RNA from 1 species